rnacentral:tRNA from 11 species
GGCGGUGUAGCUCAGCUGGCUAGAGCGUACGGUUCAUACCCGUAAGGUCGGGGGUUCGAUUCCCUCCGCCGCUACCA